GAGCAUCCUCCAAGGCUAAAUACUCCUGACUGACCGAUAGUGAACCAGUACCGUGAGGGAAAGGCGAAAAGAACCCCGGCGAGGGGAGUGAAAAAGAACCUGAAACCGUGUACGUACAAGCAGUGGGAGCACAGGUUUACCUGUGUGACUGCGUACCUUUUGUAUAAUGGGUCAGCGACUUAUAUUCUGUAGCAAGGUUAACCG
rnacentral:rRNA from 1 species